rnacentral:lncRNA from 1 species
GUGAUAUAUUGUUAACUAAAAAUGUAAUUAAGGAUAUAGAAUGCUUAGCUAUUGAUUUAUAUAAAACUGAAUGGCAUAAUAAGUUGGUUUCGAAUGAAUAUGCCAAACUUCGUACUUAUAAAUUAUUUAAAACAGAAUUUAAGGUAGAAAAUUACAUUUGUAAAACUAUUGCAGGGAAAUAUAGAAGUGCUUUUGCAAAAUUUCGCUGUGGUGUUGCGCCCCUAAAAAAUGAAACGGGCCGGUAUCAGAACUUACCUAUUAAUGAAAGAAUAUGUUUUAGUUGUAAUGAUACCAUUGAAGAUGAGAAACAUGUAAUUUUGAAAUGUCCACUAUAUGCAGAUUUUCGUGCUGUGUUGUUUAGUAAUGCUAAUUCUUUCUGUCAUGAUUUUAAUAGUAUGUCAGAUGACGAUAAAUUUGUAUUUUUAUUUAGUGAUGAAAAUGUUUACUUUUA